CAAAUAGUAAGUUAAAUUUUAUAAACUACAAGAUUCAUGAUCUUGCAAUAGAUUUUGUACUUUAUUUGA
rnacentral:tRNA from 1 species